GGACUGUCGAUAUAUUUAUCGAUAUUCCAAAACUGUCAUACUUAUCAGUUAAUAAUUGAAAAUCAAACUCAAACUGUUAUAUCAUGGCAGCUCAAGAAUUAGUCUAGAAGGCUGCGCUACUUAGGUGCUAUAAAAUGCUCUAUAGUCUAUGCUAAUCCUGCUUAGCAAAUACUAUAUGCGAAGUAUAUACAAACUGCUUAAGUAAAACAUCAUUGCUCAUAUGGCCUGCCUCUUUGCUUUAAUCGACCGAUCAAUCCUCUCGAUGCUGGAACACGCGCUCAAUCAACACUCAACAGAAGCCCGGAUUUGUGUGCUCGAUGAUGCAGCGCUUGCAGUAUUUUUU